GCCCAGCACCGAAUCCUGUAUCGUCCUGAUACUAGGAAAUGUGGUGUUUAGGCCGUGCUUUGUGCCGGUAUGAUUCUCCUCAAGUCCACUUGAUUGUGGCUUCAGGCCCAGAGAGGGUGUAAGGCCCGUGGAGGCGAGUCGUCCGGUGCCCGGCACGUCCUUAGAGUCGGGUUGUUUGGGAAUGCAGCCUAAAGCGGGUGGUAAACUCCAUCCAAGGCUAAAUACUAGCACGAGUCCGAUAGCGAAGAAGUACCGCGAGGGAAAGUUGAAAAGAACUUUGAAGAGAGAGUUCAAGAGUACGUGAAACCGCUGAGAGGCAAACUGGUGGAGCUGAAAUGGUCUUUAGGAAUUCAGCCCUUCCUGCUAGAGUUGACGUUGGAUGUGAGAUCUCACGACUCCGCCGGCGGCAUCUUCGUGCGGGAUAGGUGCACUUUCCUGUUGAUCGGACCACGACCAGCGACUUGUCUUGUCUGGCAUAAGUCGGAAGGUGGCGUCGGCCUCGGCGAACGUGUUAUAGCCGCUUAUUCGGGCUGAGCAAGGCGUUGGAAGGGAUCGAAGUCGCCUGCCCUUUGGGCUCGUACGUUGUCACUUUCAGGCGUGUCGCCGGCUUCACUGCCUUUGGCAGGGGUGUUGGAGACGUGUCGGUUAGGGUCGGCCUCUGCGAUUGGCGUCGAAAGUCUGUGGUUGUGAAGUAGGCAGUCCACCUGACCCGUCUUGAAACACGGACCAAGGAGUCUAACAUGUGCGCGAGUCAUUGGGCUCUACGAAACCUAAAGGCGCAGUGAAAGUAAAGAUCCAUUCUGAUGGAUUGAGGUGGGAUCCUGAGUCACGUGCUCGGGCGCACUACCGGCCCGUUCGACAUGUCUUCAUGCGGGCGGAGCAAGAGCGUACACGUUGGGACCCGAAAGAUGGUGAACUA
rnacentral:rRNA from 1 species